GGUUAAGCGACUAAGCGUACACGGUGGAUGCCCUGGCAGUCAGAGGCGAUGAAGGACGUGCUAAUCUGCGAUAAGCGUCGGUAAGGUGAUAUGAACCGUUAUAACCGGCGAUUUCCGAAUGGGGAAACCCAGUGUGAUUCGUCACACUAUCAUUAACUGAAUCCAUAGGUUAAUGAGGCGAACCGGGGGAACUGAAACAUCUAAGUACCCCGAGGAAAAGAAAUCAACCGAGAUUCCCCCAGUAGCGGCGAGCGAACGGGGAGCAGCCCAGAGCCUGAAUCAGUGUGUGUGUUAGUGGAAGCGUCUGGAAAGGCGUGCGAUACAGGGUGACAGCCCCGUACACAAAAAUGCACAUACUGUGAGCUCGAUGAGUAGGGCGGGACACGUGGUAUCCUGUCUGAAUAUGGGGGGACCAUCCUCCAAGGCUAAAUACUCCUGACUGACCGAUAGUGAACCAGUACCGUGAGGGAAAGGCGAAAAGAACCCCGGCGAGGGGAGUGAAAAAGAACCUGAAACCGUGUACGUACAAGCAGUGGGAGCACAGAGCAAUCUGUGUGACUGCGUACCUUUUGUAUAAUGGGUCAGCGACUUAUAUUCUGUAGCAAGGUUAACCGAAUAGGGGAGCCGAAGGGAAACCGAGUCUUAACUGGGCGUUAAGUUGCAGGGUAUAGACCCGAAACCCGGUGAUCUAGCCAUGGGCAGGUUGAAGGUUGGGUAACACUAACUGGAGGACCGAACCGACUAAUGUUGAAAAAUUAGCGGAUGACUUGUGGCUGGGGGUGAAAGGCCAAUCAAACCGGGAGAUAGCUGGUUCUCCCCGAAAGCUAUUUAGGUAGCGCCUCGUGAAUUCAUCUCCGGGGGUAGAGCACUGUUUCGGCAAGGGGGUCAUCCCGACUUACCAACCCGAUGCAAACUGCGAAUACCGGAGAAUGUUAUCACGGGAGACACACGGCGGGUGCUAACGUCCGUCGUGAAGAGGGAAACAACCCAGACCGCCAGCUAAGGUCCCAAAGUCAUGGUUAAGUGGGAAACGAUGUGGGAAGGCCCAGACAGCCAGGAUGUUGGCUUAGAAGCAGCCAUCAUUUAAAGAAAGCGUAAUAGCUCACUGGUCGAGUCGGCCUGCGCGGAAGAUGUAACGGGGCUAAACCAUGCACCGAAGCUGCGGCAGCGACACUAUGUGUUGUUGGGUAGGGGAGCGUUCUGUAAGCCUGUGAAGGUGUACUGUGAGGUAUGCUGGAGGUAUCAGAAGUGCGAAUGCUGACAUAAGUAACGAUAAAGCGGGUGAAAAGCCCGCUCGCCGGAAGACCAAGGGUUCCUGUCCAACGUUAAUCGGGGCAGGGUGAGUCGACCCCUAAGGCGAGGCCGAAAGGCGUAGUCGAUGGGAAACAGGUUAAUAUUCCUGUACUUGGUGUUACUGCGAAGGGGGGACGGAGAAGGCUAUGUUGGCCGGGCGACGGUUGUCCCGGUUUAAGCGUGUAGGCUGGUUUUCCAGGCAAAUCCGGAAAAUCAAGGCUGAGGCGUGAUGACGAGGCACUACGGUGCUGAAGCAACAAAUGCCCUGCUUCCAGGAAAAGCCUCUAAGCAUCAGGUAACAUCAAAUCGUACCCCAAACCGACACAGGUGGUCAGGUAGAGAAUACCAAGGCGCUUGAGAGAACUCGGGUGAAGGAACUAGGCAAAAUGGUGCCGUAACUUCGGGAGAAGGCACGCUGAUAUGUAGGUGAAGUCCCUCGCGGAUGGAGCUGAAAUCAGUCGAAGAUACCAGCUGGCUGCAACUGUUUAUUAAAAACACAGCACUGUGCAAACACGAAAGUGGACGUAUACGGUGUGACGCCUGCCCGGUGCCGGAAGGUUAAUUGAUGGGGUUAGCGCAAGCGAAGCUCUUGAUCGAAGCCCCGGUAAACGGCGGCCGUAACUAUAACGGUCCUAAGGUAGCGAAAUUCCUUGUCGGGUAAGUUCCGACCUGCACGAAUGGCGUAAUGAUGGCCAGGCUGUCUCCACCCGAGACUCAGUGAAAUUGAACUCGCUGUGAAGAUGCAGUGUACCCGCGGCAAGACGGAAAGACCCCGUGAACCUUUACUAUAGCUUGACACUGAACAUUGAGCCUUGAUGUGUAGGAUAGGUGGGAGGCUUUGAAGUGUGGACGCCAGUCUGCAUGGAGCCGACCUUGAAAUACCACCCUUUAAUGUUUGAUGUUCUAACGUUGACCCGUAAUCCGGGUUGCGGACAGUGUCUGGUGGGUAGUUUGACUGGGGCGGUCUCCUCCUAAAGAGUAACGGAGGAGCACGAAGGUUGGCUAAUCCUGGUCGGACAUCAGGAGGUUAGUGCAAUGGCAUAAGCCAGCUUGACUGCGAGCGUGACGGCGCGAGCAGGUGCGAAAGCAGGUCAUAGUGAUCCGGUGGUUCUGAAUGGAAGGGCCAUCGCUCAACGGAUAAAAGGUACUCCGGGGAUAACAGGCUGAUACCGCCCAAGAGUUCAUAUCGACGGCGGUGUUUGGCACCUCGAUGUCGGCUCAUCACAUCCUGGGGCUGAAGUAGGUCCCAAGGGUAUGGCUGUUCGCCAUUUAAAGUGGUACGCGAGCUGGGUUUAGAACGUCGUGAGACAGUUCGGUCCCUAUCUGCCGUGGGCGCUGGAGAAUUGAGGGGGGCUGCUCCUAGUACGAGAGGACCGGAGUGGACGCAUCACUGGUGUUCGGGUUGUCAUGCCAAUGGCACUGCCCGGUAGCUAAAUGCGGAAGAGAUAAGUGCUGAAAGCAUCUAAGCACGAAACUUGCCCCGAGAUGAGUUCUCCCUGACUCCUUGAGAGUCCUGAAGGAACGUUGAAGACGACGACGUUGAUAGGCCGGGUGUGUAAGCGCAGCGAUGCGUUGAGCUAACCGGUACUAAUGAACCGUGAGGCUUAACCUU
rnacentral:rRNA from 1 species